CCGACCCUCGGCGAGGUCGGCCUCGCCAGAUCUGGCGAGGCCCAGCCUCGCCGGUGGCUGG
rnacentral:pre_miRNA from 1 species